GAUGAACGCUGGCGGCGUGCCUAAUACAUGCAAGUCGAGCGAACAGACGAGGAGCUUGCUCCUCUGACGUUAGCGGCGGACGGGUGAGUAACACGUGGAUAACCUACCUAUAAGACUGGGAUAACUUCGGGAAACCGGAGCUAAUACCGGAUAAUAUAUUGAACCGCAUGGUUCAAUAGUGAAAGACGGUUUUGCUGUCACUUAUAGAUGGAUCCGCGCCGCAUUAGCUAGUUGGUAAGGUAACGGCUUACCAAGGCAACGAUGCGUAGCCGACCUGAAAGGGUGAUCGGCCACACUGGAACUGAGACACGGUCCAGACUCCUACGGGAGGCAGCAGUAGGGAAUCUUCCGCAAUGGGCGAAAGCCUGACGGAGCAACGCCGCGUGAGUGAUGAAGGUCUUCGGAUCGUAAAACUCUGUUAUUAGGGAAGAACAAAUGUGUAAGUAACUAUGCACGUCUUGAUGGUACCUAAUCAGAAAGCCACGGCUAACUACGUG
rnacentral:rRNA from 1 species